rnacentral:tRNA from 1 species
GCAGUGGGGGUUCUGUGGUAGAAUUUUUGCCUUCCAAGUGAGAGACCUGAAUUCGAUUCCUAGCCACUGCA